rnacentral:rRNA from 1 species
AUUGAACGCUGGCGGCAGGCCUAACACAUGUAAGUCGAACGAGUGGCGGACGGGUGAGUAAUGUAUGGGAAACUGCCCGAUGGAGGGGGAUAACUACUGGAAACGGUGGCUAAUACCGCAUACCAUCGGAUGUGCCCAGAUGGGAUUAGCUUGUGGGUGGGGUAACGGCUCACCAAGGCGACGAUCCCUAGCUGGUCUGAGAGGAUGACCAGCCACACUGGAACUGAGACACGGCCCAGACUCCUACGGGAGGCAGCAGUGGGGAAUAUUGCACAAUGGGCGCAAGCCUGAUGCAGCCAUGCCGCGUGUAUGAAGAAGGCCUUCGGGUUGUAAAGUACUUUCAGCGGGGAGGCGUUACCCGCAGAAGAAGCACCGGCUAACUCCGUGCCAGCCGCCGCGGUAAUAC